AGUAAUCGCGGAUCAGCACGCCGCGGUGAAUACGUUCCCGGGCCUUGUACACACCGCCCGUCACACCAUGGAAGUCUGCAAUGCCCGAAGCCGGUGGCCUAACCACUUAUGUGGAAGGAGCCGUCUAAGGCAGGGCAGAUGACUGGGGUGAAGUCGUAACAAGGUACC
rnacentral:rRNA from 1 species